AGCGAACGCUGGCGGCAGGCCUAACACAUGCAAGUCGAACGAACUCUUCUGAGUUAGUGGCGGACGGGUGAGUAACACGUGGGAACGUUCCUUUAGGUUCGGAAUAACUCAGGGAAACUUGUGCUAAUACCGAAUGUGCCCUUCGGGGGAAAGAUUUAUCGCCUUUAGAGCGGCCCGCGUCUGAUUAGCUAGUUGGUGAGGUAAAGGCUCACCAAGGCGACGAUCAGUAGCUGGUCUGAGAGGAUGAUCAGCCACAUUGGGACUGAGACACGGCCCAAACUCCUACGGGAGGCAGCAGUGGGGAAUCUUGCGCAAUGGGCGAAAGCCUGACGCAGCCAUGCCGCGUGAAUGAUGAAGGUCUUAGGAUUGUAAAAUUCUUUCACCGGGGACGAUAAUGACGGUACCCGGAGAAGAAGCCCCGGCUAACUUCGUG
rnacentral:rRNA from 1 species